AGAAGAAGAAGGAGAAGGAGAAGAAGGAGAAGGGAAACCUGACAUGGAUGAAUCUGCAGCUAUCGUCGAAGCAGAGAUAUGAAUGUGGUCUUGUAAAGACUGUGGGGCCACGGUGUCAACAAGAGUCAUCUGCUAAAACACUACAGAGUGAGAGCCCUGAUGACACCCAGACAGAUCUGGAUCAGACAGCCAUCGGCAUCGAUGUGAUACAUCAUCCGGGUGCAGCGUUGAUGAUCUUCCAGAAGAUGUGGGCAUCACAGCUGAAGGUGUGCAGCUGCUGUCCGGACUCAAAGAUGUCGCCGCUGCUUGUGCCUUACUGUUCGGUAUCAUCUACGACCUCAACCUGAAACAUCCACCUGCCCUCAGGUACAUGUUUGAAUUUCUUCAAAAGAUCCUGAUGGAACUGGAUACACACAGGCUUUCAGCCAAAAUCCAGGUACUCAAAAACCAACUGCUGGAAUGAACGCACGCCGCUCUAACAGUUCUGUGACCUGGAGACUAUUCAGUGUGCUGAAAUGUUUUUGUUGCUGGACGACGUGAACAGCAGUUUUGACUGUUAAUAUUUUUUUGUCAUUUUUUUCACUGUUAAUGUGCCUGAGAGGGAGAAGUUCUAAAUGACUUUAAAGCAGUGACUUCAAACUGUUCACCAUGGACCAAAUGCUCCGUCAUAAUUAUGUUGGUUUGGCUCAUGGUCUGUUCAUGUUGUCAUGAUAUUUCAGUGAUUAUGUCAAAUUUCUAAUGGCACUUUGUGCCAACAUGUAAUCUUCAUACGUGUGCCUCUUACAAGCAGUUUUAAGCAGUUUUUAUAUAACACACUGCUUUGAGUGGUAAAAAGUUGUUUGGAGAAAAUGUUAGUUUUGUGUUAGCUGCUACUCAACACAGUUGCGUGCAACCACUUGAAGCAGCAUUUUUAAGUAAAUACAAUAGAGGUGGGACGAGACACAAAUUCCACGAGACAAGAUGUCUCACGAGAUUGAAUCCACGAGAUCGAGACGAGACGAGACCGGGGGGGGGCGGGGUUUGGUGCUGAGGUGUGGGAAGCGGCGCGGUACUCACAUGCAGCGUCGGAGCACGGGGUGUCGGGUCGGGGCGCCCCUUGUCCGGCCACGGCGCCCUCCCCUGUACACUGCACCCUAGGCGGCCGCCUAG